CAGUGUGUGUUGAGUGGUGGGUUUGGGCACCGGGCAUGGAUGGCCUUGGCACUCAAGCGGCCUGGACGGUGGUGGGAAAGUGUGGCGGUUUUUACGCAGAGCUUUGGAUUGUGGGGUUUGGGAGUGUGGAUGGCAGAAAUCAUGCCCACUUUGUCUGGAGCAGAAGCGACGGUGUGAAUAUGCGAACGUGAGCAUCACCGGCGGCUGUGGAUCCCCCAGUGGAGACUGUGAUUCGCAGAUAGCACCUUGUCUCUUCUCUUUGGCAGGCCAUCGUCAAAUAAAGCACCGGGAGAUACGUGUUGUGAACAGGAAGAGAAAGAAGACAUUUAAGGAAAUGUCAGAGACAGUCAGAGCCUACAUUUCUCUAUUUGUUCUUUAACCUGUGACUGCCAGCCCUAUGAACUCCUUAAUGACAUGACCCCCUCCCCCGAUUACCAAACAUCUGGUGUAAAAGGGAUUUUACAGCAUUUGGACUAAUGCACAUACAGUGUGUUGCACAAUAAUCCAUCCCCUUUGCAUAGUUGUGAGGCAAACAUGAAAAGAUGCUUCGUUUUUAAAUGGUUUUACAAGUGCAUUUUUGGGAAAAAAAAUGUAGCAUGUAUUUGUAUUCAUUCCCCUUCCGUCAGAUACCCUCAAUAAAAUCAAGUCCAAAGAGUUGCCUCCAGAAGUGGUCUAAUUAAGUAAAUAUAUUUUAACCUUAAUGUAUUGCGAUCGCAGUUAGAAUGCAGCUGCCUGGUGAAGGCCUUAGAAGUACGCCGGAGAACAUCAGUGUACAACCAGCAUCAUCGAGACAAAGGAAGACACCAGCCACAUCAGGGACGAAGCUGUGGAGAAGGUUAAAAACAACAUAGUGACUGUGAACAUCUCACCAAGCUCUUUUUACUCCACCAGUCAGAAGUGAAAAGAUCACGACACAACGGCAAAAACGACAUGUCUCAACAAAACUGAAGAGAUAAGCAGAGAAUCGAUCAGAGAGGUGGCUGAGAGGCUCAUUGGGAACUCUGGAGGAGCUACAGAGAUCUAGAGCUUAAGUGGAAUAAUCUGUAUGCCUAGCUCCACAAUGCUGUCCUCUAUGGAGAGGACCUGUUGUUGAAAAAAAGCAAUAAGCUUGUUUAAAUGUUCUUUGAUUACAUGAGACUGGGAUAUAACUUUCUUGGCUUGAAGGCAAAUCCCUAUGUACAAAUGGAAAGCAAACUACAAACCCAGAGAAGACCAUCCUUAUGGUAAAACACUGUGGCAGCAUCAUGCUUUAGGGAUGCUUUUUUUUUUUUUUUUUAGCAGUAACAGGGAAGAGGGAUGGAGCUAAAUAUUGUCAAACACAGGAAGAAACCCUGCUAGAGUCUGCAAAAAGCCAAAACUUGGACAAAGGUUUACCUUCCAGCAAAGUUUUUCCCAUCUUGAAAUGGCCCAAUCAAACUCUACAUCUACAGUGAAUCCACUUGAGAAUAUGUGACAAAAUUGAAACCUGAUGUUCAGGGCUGCUUUCCAAUCUGUCUGGUGUGGAUGCAUUUUCCAAAGAAGAAUGACGUGCAAAGUUGGAAGAGACGUGUUCCCAAAGAGCCUGAAACAACUGUAGCAACAGGUGGAAGAAUUAUACAGUUUCCUUCCACUUCACAAUCAUGUACGGUUUUUUGAUGAUCUGUCCCAUAAAUCUGAUUUGAAUACACCAAAAUUUGUAUCUGUAAAGUGAUGAGAUCUAAAUAAACUAAUGUGUUGGCAAUACACACGGAGCGACACACAAAAAACUAGAUUACCCACAAUAGCUCUCUCUUCCUUGACAACAGCCUAUCUAUUCCAUUUUCAGAUUGGAAAAAUUUCUCAGCAACUUUUCAUAAAUGUUCCUAUUUACUUUAUAACAGGAGAACAGUCAGCUUACACGGAGUUAGUGCUUGUUAAAGGAAUAAAUCAAUCAGGCUUUUCUGGCUGUUUUCUGUUCGGCCGUGGCCCUCAGUUGGUGCGGUAAGAGGGAGAAAUUUUAAUUUAAAAACAAACCUCUGGUGGGCCGGUUUUCAUGGAGACACAAGAAAGGAAACAGUGUUUAUUAUCUGGAUGCAGAGUUAUGUUCUAAUUAACAUCUUUCUGGUGUGUGUGAGUGAGCAUGUCGUUAAUUGUUGAUUAGAUUCAGAGCAAAUAAUUUGUUUUCCAGGUGAGGACGGGACUUUUGUUAGUUUUAGGAGGAAAAAAGAACACAAAUUAAAUAGAUUCUUUCUACCUAAAAAGAACUAGGUAAAAAAAUAAUACAAUUUUGAAUUCAGAAGUACAUUUACACCUCAAAGUUAAAAGUUGCAGAAAAAGGUUUCAGGGUUUAAAAUAUGUAUUAAUUCCAAGGCCUAAAUGUGCCCUCAAUUAUUUUACCAUUGCCCCUUGAGUAAUUGAUUUUGGGCAGAGAAAAGCAAAAGGUGGAGGGAUGAUCUGUGUUGUUGUGAAAAAAACUACAAAACAAAUAAAUGGAAAAAUAACUGACGUCCUAAUUCCCGUGAGUGUUGUAACCUUGCUUUAUUGAUUUUUUUUUUUUUUCUCUUUCACGAAAGGCAUUUGCGUAACAACAUCACAGUUGCACCCUUGAUAGUAUAAGUCAUGUAAUAAUUUGUCAUUUUUUAAAAAUGUUUUUUUUUUUUCCUCAUUGACGCCGAGGUACGGCAAGCGGCGAACAGACAAAGACGGAAACAUGCACAGAAGACAAGAUAAUGAGCUUCUCAGUAUCUCUAAAUUCCUAGCGUUGCUAAGGUGCUUUGGGAGGGGAUUAACAGACGCUGGCGCCGAUGAGCAAGCCUUGCAGAUUUCCAACCAGCAGAAAAAGAGACAAAGAAAGACGGGGUAAAGACGGAGGAAGAGCAGCGGCGGGCUAGACAAGAGGGAGAAGGCAGUAACAGCUUGUGUAAACACGAUGACUUAAGAGACGUAAGGAGGGGUAAGGCGACAGAACAGGUAUACUAAACACCUGGCCUGAACUUUCCUGCAGGCCUGUGGGAAAUUGUUCUUUUUAUUGUCUUCCCUCCAUCUCCUCCCUGUCUUCCUCUCCAUUACGUCCCGUCUCUUCAUCCCCCCCGCCCCUUUUUUCCCCCCCCAAGGGCAACAGUUUCAGAUCAAGAUGCUUUUGUGUCGCUGUUUCUUCAAACUUCAAACACCGUCAGCAUUUAGGUCACGCUGAUGUGCCCGGAGCAUCGGUGACUGCGCUGUCUCAG